AGCAGCCGCGGUAAUUCCAGCUCCAAUAGCGUAUAUUAAAGUUGCUGCAGUUAAAAAGCUCGUAGUUGAAUUUCGGGACCAUCAUGUUGGUCGUGCCUCGGUACGUACUGGCAUUGUUGGUUUCUCCCUUCUGACGAACCAUGAUGUCAUUUAUUUGGUGUUGUGGGAAAUCAGGACUGUUACUUUGAAAAAUUAGAGUGUUUAAAGCAGGCUCACGCUUGAAUACAUUAGCAUGGAAUAAUGAAAUAGGACGUUUGAUUCUAUUUUGUUGGUUUCUAGGAUCGAUGUAAUGAUUAAUAGGGAUAGUUGGGGGCAUUAGUAUUCAAUUGUCAGAGGUGAAAUUCUUGGAUUUAUUGAAGACUAACUACUGCGAAAGCAUUUGCCAAGGAUGUUUUCAUUAAUCAAGAACGAAAGUUAGGGGAUCGAAGACGAUCAGAUACCGUCGUAGUCUUAACCAUAAACUAUGCCGACUAGGGAUCGGAUGAUGUUAAUUUUUAAUGACUCAUUC
rnacentral:misc_RNA from 1 species